CCUACGUGCGGCAGCAGUGAGGAAUAUUGGUCAAUGGGCGCGAGCCUGAACCAGCCAAGUCGCGUGAGGGAUGAAGGUUCUAUGGAUCGUAAACCUCUUUUAUAAGGGAAUAAAGUGUGGGACGUGUCCUAUUUUGUAUGUACCUUAUGAAUCAGGAUCGGCUAACUCCGUGCCAGCAGCAGCGGUAAUACGGAGGAUCCGAGCGUUAUCCGGAUUUAUUGGGUUUAAAGGGUGCGUAGGCGGGCUUUUAAGUCAGCGGUGAAAGUCUGUGGCUCAACCAUAGAAUUGCCGUUGAAACUGGGGGGCUUGAGUAUGUUUGAGGCAGGCGGAAUGCGUGGUGUAGCGGUGAAAUGCAUAGAUAUCACGCAGAACCCCGAUUGCGAAGGCAGCAUACCGGUGCACAACUGACGCUGAGGCACGAAAGCGUGGGUAUCGAACAGGAUUAGAUACCCCAGUAGUC
rnacentral:rRNA from 1 species